UACGGGGGGGGCAAGCGUUGUUCGGAAUUACUGGGCGUAAAGGGCUCGUAGGCGGCCAACUAAGUCAGACGUGAAAUCCCUCGGCUUAACCGGGGAACUGCGUCUGAUACUGGAUGGCUUGAAUCCGGGAGAGGGAUGCGGAAUUCCAGGUGUAGCGGUGAAAUGCGUAGAUAUCUGGAGGAACACCAAUGGCGAAGGCAGCUUGCUGGGACGGUACUGACGCUGAGGCGCGAAAGCGUGGGGAGCAAACAGG
rnacentral:rRNA from 1 species